rnacentral:rRNA from 1 species
ACGUAAUAGAUACCCCGGUAGUCCACGCCCUAAACGAUGUCUACUAGUUGUCGGGUUUUAAUUAACUUGGUAACGCAGCUAAACGCGUGAAAGUAGACCGCCUGGGGAGUACGGUCGCAAGAUUAAAACUCAAAGGAAUUGACGGGGACCCGCACAAGCGGUGGAUGAUGUGGAUUAAUUCGAUGCAACGCGAAAAACCUUACCUACCCUUGACAUGGCAGGAAUCCUGAAGAGAUUUGGGAGUGCUCGAAAGAGAACCUGCACACAGGUGCUGCAUGGCUGUCGUCAGCUCGUGUCGUGAGAUGUUGGGUUAAGUCCCGCAACGAGCGCAACCCUUGUCAUUAGUUGCUACGAAAGAGCACUCUAAUGAGACUGCCGGUGACAAACCGGAGGAAGGUGGGGAUGACGUCAAGUCCUCAUGGCCCUUAUGGGUAGGGCUUCACACGUCAUACAAUGGUACAUACAGAGGGCCGCCAACCCGCGAGGGGUAGCUAAUCCCAGAAAGUGUAUCGUAGUCCGGAUUGUAGUCUGCAACUCGACUAC